UCUAGCUUUUCCUGAAUCCUGCCUUUAUCUACGUCAUAUCGUUACGUCCUUUUUCAUUAAGAUCAUCUGAAAUAAAUCCUUUCCCGCCAGGGCCCAGAUAGAUAAACCUCUGGAUGUUCAGGUCUCUUGUGUCGUCACGGAGCAUCGUGCCAUCAGCACCAGGGAAGCCUUCUUAUCUCUUCAGGCAGGUACAGUCCCCAGUCACAUGACCACAGGUUAGGCAGUCUCAACCUGGCAGCUCCUCAGAAUCACUAGAUUUCAGAACCCAAAUUAUUAUAUGAAACUCUUCUGGGGUGGGGUCCUACAGUUUCUACUUUUAAAAAAGAUCCAUGGAACAAGAAUGGCAAGAUAGUGGUAACUGCUCAGCUUGGGUGAUCAGUACCCGGGGUUCAUUAUACCAUUUUUUCUACUUCUGUGUAUGUUUGAAAAUUUUCACUAUAAAAAAGAUUUAGGUAUGUAAGCUUCUUCACUGAGAAUUUCUGAUUCAAAGCAGGGAUUGGAAAUUUUGUUUUGCUCGUCUCAUCAUUCCCUAUUUCCACUGGCCCCAUCACCCCAUGAUAGGCUCUCCAUCUGUGUAAACAACGAGAUGAGACAAAGAGAUCCAGCAUCUUUCGUUCACUGUAGUCCUAGGUACCAGAGACACCAGACCCCAGUCCCUACCCCUACAGGAUUCUUUUAUAGAUUGGGGUUGAGCAGAUUUGGCCAAACAUCUUCAGUUCAGUUCAGUUCAGUCGCUCAGUCAUGUCCGACUCUUUGUGAUCCCAUGAUCACAGCACGCCAGGCCUCCCUGUCCAUCACCAACUCCUGGAG
rnacentral:lncRNA from 1 species